UAUGUCUGCGCAAUCUCCAUAUCAAUAGUCACAGCAAGUCGGGUUGCAAAAAAUGGUGUCAGCCUUCUCUUCUGAUCCAAUUUCGCACUGGUAUUGCUCAGCCACAAGCUCUGGGCAUGCUCUGCCUUUUUCCUUUACUUCAUGACUAUUCUUUAGGCCUAUUCAGUUUUAAUUAUUUAGCCAACCCCACCCACCGUAGCCUAUAUCUAGUUUAUAUUAUUCUUUCUAACAUUAGAAUAUGUAGUUCCUAUUUUGAAGGAGUUCAAAUGUAUUAAGAUGGUGGGGGUUCUUGCAGGAACCUAAUUGCCCAACUAAAACAUUUGCAUUUGAAUUUGAAAGGACAGUAGGUGCAGGCACUUAACUGGAAAAUGUAAAGCUCUCCUCAAUUUAAGAAAAUGGAAACAAUUCAAGGAUGUCAAUCAACAAAGAGGUAUACAGACAGGGGGCUCACAAGGUAUGUCUAUUGGUAUUUGUAUGUGAUGCAGAUCACAUGUACCAUCCUCCUCCCUUACCACUUCAAUGAAUACCCCAUAGGCCUCUACAUUAUGUACAAG